rnacentral:rRNA from 1 species
UACGUAGGGCGCAAGCGUUUAUCCGGAAUUAUUGGGCGUAAAGAGCUCGUAGGCGGUUUGUCGCGUCUGCCGUGAAAGUCCGGGGCUCAACUCCGGAUCUGCGGUGGGUACGGGCAGACUAGAGUGAUGUAGGGGAGACUGGAAUUCCUGGUGUAGCGGUGAAAUGCGCAGAUAUCAGGAGGAACACCGAUGGCGAAGGCAGGUCUCGUGGGCAUUAACUGACGCUGAGGAGCGAAAGCAUGGGGAGCGAACAGG